ensembl:lncRNA
GGAUGAUAGUGAAAGAGCUGGCAGUGUUAAACACACAGAUUUUCAUGAUGGAGCAGCCUAUUUUCAUCUGUUUCACUCCUGUAGGGAGGUUGGUGUGGGAGGAACUGUCUUCUCAAACUGAACAGUAUGUGGAUGAGGAGGUUCAGCAGCAGCCCGGUCUGACUUUAAUCUCUUGGUCUGGACCUCAGUGGGUUUCAAGCGCCCCUGUCAAACUGCAGCCAACAUAUUACUUUACCCAUGCUGGGAACACGCUGGUGAGAGAGCUGUCAGUAUUAAAUACACAGCCAAAUAGUGAAGACUCUGGUUUUCCCUUUGAGAAGAUGCAGCUGGUUGGGAACUGGGGUUCGUUUCAUUUCCAUACUUGGAUAAUCCGUUAUGGACGAGUGCAGCAAAACGAAGAGGACAUGCAUCACCUGUGCAUUGUGAGGGGAGUGGAGAAACAGCUGUGGUGGAGCAGAGUCAUUCAGGAAAAAAUCCUGGACCCAUGGGGUAAUGUCCAGGUGGUCCUCGCCAACAAGGAGGUGACUGGUAUUAAGUUCCUUGGUAGAAGGAUCCAUGGACUCAGGUCUUGCCUCGUCAAGAGGAGGUCAGAGUUCACCUAUUAUGAGGACGCCCAGCAGGUGGAUAUCUCCACCACAGUGGAGGGGUUCCAGGAGAGGGGGGAUGACAUGAUGACCUAUCAGUUCUCUACCUCUGACAUUAUCACCACCCCUCAUGAGCCGUCCUCUGGCUCCUCUCAGCAGUUCCCCCAGGAUUCUCCACCUCCCCCUCCGCCUCCCCCGUUCCCUUCCCCUCCACCUUACCACUUCACCCAGGACCAGACCCCUGACAGCACUCCUCAGGUAAAACUCUUUCUACAGUCAAUAACCCUUUUUAUUUGUUUUCC